UACGAAGGGGGGCUAGCGUUGUUCGGAAUUACUGGGCGUAAAGCGCGUGUAGGCGGCCCGGUAAGUCCGCUGUGAAAGUCGGGGGCUCAACCCUCGAAUGCCGGUGGAUACUGUCGGGCUAGAGUGCGGGAGAGGCGAGUGGAAUUCCUGGUGUAGCGGUGAAAUGCGCAGAUAUCAGGAGGAACACCAAUUGCGAAGGCAGCUCGCUGGAACGUAACUGACGCUGAGACGCGAAAGCGUGGGGAGCAAACAGG
rnacentral:rRNA from 1 species